GAAGGCGGAGGGAACCAUGCGAGGUUCUGAGAACUGCGGCGAGGGUCGCCUCGAGAGACGGUUUCUGAGGCGUUGACCCUGCACUAUCAGAUCCUGUGUUGGCCCGGCGCCUUCGGGAAAACCGGAGUUUGGCCAUGAGUCGGCUGGAUGAGGUCAUCUCCAAAUAUGCAAUGUUGCAAGACAAAAGUGAGGAGGGCGAGAGAAAAAAGAGAAGAGCUCGGCUCCAAGGCACCUCUUCCCACUCUGCAGACACCCCCGAAGCCUCCUUGGAUUCUGGUGAGGGCCCUAGUGGAAUGGCAUCCCAGGGGUGCCCUUCUGCCUCCAGAGCUGAGACAGAUGACGAAGACGAUGAGGAGAGUGAUGAGGAAGAGGAGGAGGAGGAGGAGGAGGAAGAAGAAGAGGAGGAGGCCACAGAUUCUGAAGAGGAGGAGGAUCUGGAACAGAUGCAGGAGGGUCAGGAGGAUGAUGAAGAGGAGGACGAAGAGGAAGAAGCAGCAGCAGGUAAAGAUGGAGACAAGAGCCCCAUGUCCUCACCACAGAUCUCCAAUGAAAAGAACCUGGAACCUGGCAAACAGAUCAGCAGAUCUUCAGGGGAGCAGCAAAACAAAGGACGCAUAGUGUCACCAUCGUUACUGUCAGAAGAACCCCUGGCCCCCUCCAGCAUAGAUGCUGAAAGCAAUGGAGAACAGCCUGAGGAGCUGACCCUGGAGGAAGAAAGCCCUGUGUCUCAGCUCUUUGAGCUAGAGAUUGAAGCUUUGCCCCUGGAUACCCCUUCCUCUGUGGAGACGGACAUUUCCUCUUCCAGGAAGCAAUCAGAGGAGCC
rnacentral:sRNA from 1 species